ensembl:snoRNA
AAUGUCUCUGUCAAUAGUUUCAAAGGAGAUCUUGGCAAAGGCAUGAAGAACAGGCGUGAAAAAAAAAUCCUCUUUUGCAACCAAGAACUCGGUGUUCAGUGUGAGUUUGAUACACAUAGGAAGGAACAUG